UGGACGUCUGAGGAAUUGCAGAUUGUGCCACUUCCGCGUUGGCUUGGAGAUUUCCGCGGAGUGAUCCUUCUUCCUCCAUCACGAUCUCCGCAGCCUUCACUCAGCCGACACGUCGAUCGGGAUUCUCUGCCUGGAAACGCCGCAAAUCGGAACCGGCGGCCGACACAGACGGAGCGGUCUCGCGGGCUUCGUGGGGGUCGAUUAGGUGGGCUAAAAUUAAUCUGUGCUCCCCGAGCGGCUGUCGGAGCUCCUGUCCUCUCUGCAGGCGGAGCGAUCAGAUGUAAACAUGUUUGCAGGCCGGAGCGGACCCACGGGCCCACACGUGUCACCAACACGGAGUUAGAUAGCCUGAAAUACGCGUGAUCCCCUCAUAGCGGGUGACACACGAGGCUUAAACAGUCAGGACAUGUUUGGUGUUUGUAAUGAGGAGCAGGCCGUGGAGGUCUGAUGAGGCACAGCUGCAGAGACACAAACAAACACGCUGCUGGUUCCGGGGUUGUCCUCUGAGACUCCGCCCACAUCUGCACAGGUGUUCCUGUAGAAGAAAAACAUGAACCCUGCACACAUGGGCGUGGUCCUUGAGUGCGCGCGCCUUUAGUUUUCAUGCAUCUUUUCCACCACCAGCCUGUUUUUUAAGUCUAUUUGUUGUCAUUCAAGUCUAAUUUUAGACAUUUUGAGUGUCUUUGUUCUCGGUUUGUGUCCGUUUGUGCAUAUUUUGAACCAGUUUUUAAUUGUUCCGUGUCCCUGGCACCAUUUGUACCAGUUUUAGCCAUUUUUAGGCUCUUUGUGGUUGUUUUGCAUGCAGUUUAAGUUGUUUUUGCAUCUCUUUAUACUGACUUAAAGUCUCUGUUGAGGUUUAUUUCAGGUCAUUUUCAGUUCUUGAGUCAUCAUUUUUGUUUUUUCUUAGUCAUUUGUUUCUGCCUCCCACAGACUUUGAGAUAACUGGCAGGCUGAUAGUUCAAGUCUGACCUAUAGCCAGCAUAUGUGACUUCAUCUGAUCAUUUACAACAUUAAGCAGUUUUAAAAUCAUAGAACAAACCUUUACUGCAGUAUUUCCAGUAGACAUCAGAGAUUUCUAGUCUUGUUUUUCACAGAAAAGGCUGAUGUGGGGCUUUAACCAGUGUAUCAUGUAUCAGCGAAUAAAGAAGCUGGAAACAUUCAGCACAUUUACAGUAAAAAUAUUAAAGGCGUGGAUCUAUUACGCAUGAUGCAGAGUCUAACGUCUGUCAGCUAAUGCCACACAGUCCUGGAUCGGUGACACCCGUUCAUUAGAGCAGAGAGAGAAUAAAGCUGAGGCAAACUCACUCUGGCUUUAAUCGAAUCAGUAAUGCAGAUAGGCUGUAAUUAAUCUGCUGCUGAGAGAUUAUUUAUCUUAAUUAUUUCCUAGUGGGUGGACCCCAUUCGUGCCAAAAAUCUUUCAUUACUGACGGAAAAAAAGCGAGAACUGAAGUCAGCGUGGUUUGUGAGACGGUGUUUGAGUAUAACAGCAUUCAGAGAGAAGGCCUUCUGUGUAACUUUGGUGUCUUUGUUGUCACUUUGUUCGUUUUUAGUUGUUUUGUAGAAAUAUUGAGUCUUUUUGCAUGUCGUCACAGUCAUUUUCAGUCUCUUUGUGGUCUUUUUGCACCUGUUUUGUGCCAUUUUCUUCCUUCUUAAGUUGUUUUACAGAAAAUCUUUAUAGUUUUACUGCCUUCUGAGUCUCUUUUAGUCAUUUUAUGUCUCCUAGAUGUCACUUUGUAUCUGUUGUGAGUCCUUUUGUGUUUCUGUCCAUUUUUAGUCAUUUUGUGCCUCGUGAUCAUUUUUGUGUCUGUUUUCAGUCAGUUUGCCUCUUUGCGCUCAUUGAAAGUCAUUUUGUGUUCACCGUUGGUCUCUGUGGAGUUGUCAGAUCGGCGGUACCUGCCACAGCGUCACGCUGUUGCAGCCAGCAGCUGCUUUCUGUGGGUCACAUGUAGUUUUGUGUUCAGAUGGGAGCCCUCAGGCUUUGGAAAAGCCAAAUCGGUUUGUCGUGAGCCGAAGAGGGCAGCGGCAGAGAUAAGGAGGCGCACAAGUCAAAACAAAACAAUAUCUGAGAGGAGGGAGCUAUUUUUAGCUCGGCUUUCUCUCCGGCUGUGAUCCGUGCUGCACAGACAGCCGAGGAGGGAAGCGAGGCGACCGCACUGAAUGCUGAUGGAGACACUCUGAAGUUCAGCAAUGAAACACGUGUCGCUGUGAUGAAUUUGUUCGGUGCUCGUUUGUCCCAUUUUAAUGGGACUGCUUUCUGCCAUGAUUAAUUUCUGAUCUAUUAAUGAGAAGAACUUUGGGGGUUGCCAGAUUAUUUAAAAUGCUCAUCUUGGCUCGUCUUUCAGGUCAGCUCUGUGAUCGAUCAGGGAGAGUGCGAAUAAAGCCAGUAAACAGAUGAAUGAAUAUCUUUAUUUAUCCAAGAACAAGUAUCAUGAACCUGUCUUUGUGGUGCUAUGCAGUUCACCUAAAAACUCAUCUAUAGCCAGUGAUGAAUCAAGUCCAACAUGCAGUUUUUCUAAAAGUCACCAGGGGGCGACACCUCUCACCCAGUGAAAUAGAAAACUGGGGGGAAACGAGCGUACAGUUCACCUGAUCUGUGAGCUCGGUAAAAACUUUCCUCGUGAGUUUCAGAUCUUGUUCCUUGAGCUUUUACUGAGCAUUUUUUUGUGGUUUAGCUGUAAAAAAGAAAUGGAACGUGGCCCCCCCCACCAUCACCUGUUGGUUUGUGGCGUCCUAAUAUGAAGACUCAGGUUGAGCAUUUUCCAGUUUGUGUUUUGAAGCCGCAUCCUCACUGACCAAUGAACAUAUCCCCAAAACAUCUGUUUCUUGGAGUUACCAUCAUUUAAGAAAUGGGCCUUAAUGUCUUGGCCUAACUGGAGUCGAUGGCUGUUUUGAUGGAGGUCGCUGCCAUGAUGUCACCCGUUGUUUCUGAAGUCACGUUUUGAACUUUUAUGACGCGCCUGAUGGCUGCAAGCAACUCUUAAUAUAUGCAAAAUAAACCAAAGUAUACAAAUCUCCAGUAAAGACACAGAGAUGCAGAAAGAGACAGCUCUUUUUUAUCUACUCGGUUCAGAUGAAAAGUGUUUGAAACUAAGCCAUCAGCAUUUUUACUGUUAAUACAAUCCAGCUGUUCUCUUUCUUCAGUGCUCAUCCAGCAGACGAUCCUCCUCUGGUGUUAGAUUUAGAUCUGGAGCAAAGAAACGUCCCAGCUGUCCCCGAGCUGGUGCUCACGCGUCUGAGUCUGGACCGUCUGGAGCCGCAGGCCGACCAGUCAGAAGCUGAAUGAUUAGUUCAGUUGGUUUUUCUCUAAGGAUGAAUCAUAAUGAACAUCAGCGCUUCUUAAUGUUAGGCCUCGAUCACACAGACCGGUCUGCAAACAUCUGGCAGCCGCCAGUCGUUGCAGCGGUUGCCUUAUAGUUUAUUUGGGGUGACACCAACCAAAGCAAGCGGGUGGAGGUUCUUGGUACAGCACCAUCCUCACUACUGAUAUUAUCCAGCAGCUUCCAGCAACCGUCACCAGCCAGGGCACAAACAUCCCAACACUGCUGUGGCUCCACAGGACGUCAGCAGCAGGUGGAGGUGUAGCCACGUAGAUGCUGUGUUUUCUGUUAACAGACAGAACCCGCUCGCUCUGGUUCGGCCUUCAGGGGAGAACUACAGAGGAACUCUCAGAUCUGAGUGGAUGAGACUGCAUGAUUUAUUCAGACUCUCCAAACACCAGCAGCUUCUGUUCAGCCAGUUAAUGAACUUACCGGCGUUCAUGCUUUUAGCUGAUGAUGGCGGUGUUUUCUUACUGUUCCAGCACUGACUCGUGUUUUAUCGUCAGGGUAACGUCAGGGUAACACGAUGCUGAAACUCCCUUCUGGUUAUGUGUAAUUUCCCAGCAUGCAUUACACACGGCCGGGAAAGCCUGGGCAGCUCGCGGCGAUCGUGUUCAGCAGAGUAAGAUGAUCCCUCGAGCUGCGUCCGCCGAGCUGAUUGUGUUGUGUCUGAUUGGAUUGGUGUCCUGGACGGGAUUAGGGAUGUCCGAGCUGAUAACCAGGAGUGGCGGUGAUGUCUGCCGUCCUCUUCCUCACUAUCUGUAUCUCUCUUCCUCUCUAUCAGGGCCUUUCUAUCUCUGUCCUCUCCCUGUCUCAUUUCACCCUCCACUACACACAUUAUGCCGCCUCUUCUGUUUAGAUAGAAGAAGAGUUUGUGGGUAACAUGCCUUUGACUUUUCUGCUUGACUUUUUCACCCUGCGGUUUCUUUCAGCCUCCCAUGUUUCCUAUUUAUUAACCCCAAUUAAAUUAUGUUUUAUUUGAAUAGUGAACUGAAGGCACUUUAUAAUGUAAAACCAUAUACCACCCGGUCAGGUUUCUCAGGUAGGCUCAGGCAGUCACUGCUCCGUCUUCUCAUUCAGCUCUGACUGAAACCAAAAGGUCUUUUUUAAUGUUUUCCUUCUGUAAGUCCUUUAACUUCAGCUUACACCUGUGUGUUUUUCCUCAGGCGCGACUCUUUCUCCUGACUGAAGAUGGGAAGUGAUCAGAGCCAUGAGAGGAAGGCUGAAGAGACUGAGAAGGAAACUGAAAAACACGAGCAGUGUGACAAAACCGAGGAUGCGACUCCUAAAGAGAUGCCAGGAGAGCUGCCCCAGUGCAGGAUGGGAAACAGGAGGGUGGACAACAUGUGUUUCAUGAUCUCGUGCACUAACUGGUACUGAACUGGUCCCCGUGUGUUGGGCUCACGAUGAAACAGAAGCACACUGGAGGAUCUGUCUGCAUCUGUGCUGCUAAAACGACAAAUGCACCUGACUUCACUUUCCUUAAAUUCAAAACCAAGACUAAUGAUAAAAGGAAGAGAUGGAAAAGGAUUUCAAACGAUGGGUCACAAGAUUCGUGGGCUGUGUGGGAUGCUUGGAUUUCUAGUCAUGCCAAUAAAGACUGAGCAAAAGUAAAGAAGUGUUGCUCGUCAUGCUCUGUGGGCUCAGACAGCUGUGUGAAAACGAUCAAAGAGAAGCGAGAGCUGAACAAAGAUUGCUCACUUCAGUUACUGAUGUUCAAAAAGAAUUAGACUAGAAAGGGAAGGAAAGGAGGAUGGAAGAGGGAAAGGAAGGAAAGAAAGCAAUUGGGAAAGGGAGGGAAGUAAGGAAAGGAGAAGGAAGCAAAAAAAGGAAGAAAACUGACAACGGAAGGAAAGGAAGGAGGAAACAACGGAAACGUGAAAGAAAUAAGGGGGUUAGGGAAGAGGCAGGAAGAAAGGAAGGAAGGGAAAAUGAAUGACAGAAAGAGAGAAAAGUAAUGGUGAAAGGAAAGGAAACGAGAGUACCAAAGGAAGGAAGGAAACUAAGGAAGGACAAGACUAAGAAGGAAAGGGAGCAAAGAAGCAGGCAGGAAGGAAUGAGAGGAGAAAGGAAGGUGGACAGAGGGAAGGGAAAAUGAAUGAAGGAGUCAAGGAGGAAACAAGGGAACUGUGAAAGAAGAAAGGGGCUUAGGGAAGAGGCAAGAAGAAAGGAGCGAUGGGGAAAUGAAUGAAGGAAAGAGGAAGGAAAAAGAACAAAGAAAGCAAAGAAAGGAUGAAAGGAAAGGAAAUGAGAGUACCUAAGGAAGGAAUGUAACAGUAAGGAGAAGACUAAGAAAGAAAGGGAGCAAAGAAGCAGGUAGGAACAAAGGAAGGAAAGGAAGAUGAAAGAAGGAGGAAAGGGAAAAUCAAAGAAGGGAGCAAAUAUAAAAGGAAGCAAAGAUGAAAAAGGAAAGAAGUGAGGAAGAAAAGAAGGGGACAAAGAGGUGGUUUUGGUAAAAAGGAGACCUUUGAGUCUAAUUUGUUUCACUCAGAGCUGUAAAAAUCCGAACACACUGCAGCGUGUUCAGAGUUCAGCAGGAACGACAUUAAUCAACAGACCGAAAGAAGUUUCAGUUUAAGACGUGAUGGAUUCAUCAGGAAUAUCAUUAUUCAUGUCUGUGAUAAGAUUAAUGCUGCAUAUCUGACACUUACUGUCUCAUAAUUAUGAGAAAGUCUUCAGGUGGUUAUAAAUCAUCUGUGCUUGAGAGGACGGGGCGACGGCGCUGAAUGAUUUAAGUUUAAUGAAUAUGAGCUCGGGUUUUAACACAAGUGGCUCCUUUUUUUUUUUCAACAAAGUCGUUCGGGAAUGUCACAAAAGCCCCGACCGGUGUGAACAGACGGGGAAUUUUACAAGAAACAAGAAGGAUGACGUCCCAGCUGGAGACAACACGAACCUUGGUUUGGUUAUUAUGUCAGAUAUUACAGCUCGACUGAAAAACUCAGACAACUCCUGUUCCUGCAAUAGUAAAAGGAAAAAAGAAGGAAAUGAUAAGGAAGAAAAGAGGGAAAAAAGGAAAGAGCGGAAGGAAGAAAAGGAAUGAAAGAAGUAGAGAGGAAGGAAGAUAUGAAGGGAAGGGAUGGAGGAGAAAGGAGGGAAAUAUGAAAAGGAAAGGGUAUGAAGAUGAAGAAGCUGAAAAGGGACGACAAAUGAAAAAGGAAAGGAAGCAAGGAAUUAAGAAUCAGUGAUGGAAAUUAAGAAGUAUGGAAGCAAAUGAGGAAAGGAUGAAGGAAAGAGGAGAGAAGAUGAUGCAAAGGGAGGAAGAAAAGGAAACGAAUGAAUUAACUUAAACUGUAGUUCCUCCAGUGACCACUUGAGGCUCCAGCAGUGACUCGGUGCCUGUAGACUUGUUAUAAUCUCCAACUUUACAGCAGAAAUAAACACAUUUACAGCCCGAUGUGAAAACUCUCUGUGGUAUCUAUGGAUCGAUUCCUCCUUCCUAACACCUGUGAG
ensembl:lncRNA